GUUCAGGGGUUCUGCAUUCUGCAGGUCCUGUUUGCAGCCCUUUUCAAGCCCAUUUCUUUCUGGUUGAGCCGCUGUUUCCUCUUUCAUGGUUUUCACCUCAUGAUCUCCAACCUCAGCUCCAAAUGUGGUUUGUCUUCUCCCCCAUCAUCCCAUCUUAUGGCUGUAAUUCACAGUGGCAUGUGUUAAUUACACCCACGCAGAGUUGUUUAAGGGCAUGCUGGGCAUCAUUAUCAUGUUUUAAAUUAUGUCCUCUCUUCUGGUCUCAGUUUGCAGCUCAGUGGGUUUUAAGGAUUGUUGGGACUCCUCUAAUCGGUGGUGUGAGGCCUGUGGAGCAGCUAAUGGAACAUCACGACUAUGCUGACUUCCCCAGGGUAUUACGGUCAUUUCUGUUUCACCAGCAGAUCUGGGUUUGUGUUAAUAAAAAGGAAAGGGUUGUCUUUUUCUGGAUGACUACAGUCAGGAUCUCCAGAUAUCUCAUCCCAAUUGUCAGGAGAUGCUAUUUGUUUCCUAAUCCGUAUGAUACCCAAACCCCCACACCUUUUCCUCCCAUCCCCUGACCCCCAUUAAGUAACUUAUAAACAGCAUUAAUUAUAUCCCUAAUACUCCCUUGCGUCAUCCUAUAGAGCAAUGCACGCAGGGUGCAGCCCUACAUAUGCGGGGCAGCGCCUUCAUUCCUGCAUUGUGUCCAACAGGUGGCAGCAGAGAGCUGCAGCGCUCCCGAGUGCUGUAAGGACUGCACGGAGAGACGUGCGGGUCUUCACGGGAACAGCCAGGAACCGAAAGCUGCAUUUCCCGGGAUGCCCUGGAGCUCCACUUUGCUGACUGGUAAUUGUCUGCCCAGCAGGUAAGGACAAUGCACACCCACCAGUGUUUACCGCUUACUCAGUGAGACACAAGGUAGGGUUCCCAGAGCUCCUUUCUGCACUUCAGGGUUCCCCAAAGGCUGCCCGUCCUAUUCUUUGCACGUUCUCCUUGGCUCUGGCCUUUCACGGCGGUGUUCUCCUUCCCUUUGCCCUUGGCG
ensembl:lncRNA